AUACGUAGGGUGCGAGCGUUAAUCGGAAUUACUGGGCGUAAAGCGUGCGCAGGUGGUUUUGUAAGUCAGAUGUGAAAUCCCCGGGCUCAACCUGGGAAUGGCGCUUGUGACUGCAAGGCUAGAGUGCGUCAGAGGGGGGUAGAAUUCCACGUGUAGCAGUGAAAUGCGUAGAGAUGUGGAGGAAUACCGAUGGCGAAGGCAGCCCCCUGGGACGAGACUGACGCUCAUGCACGAAAGCGUGGGGAGCAAACGGGAUUAGAAACCCCAGUAGUCC
rnacentral:rRNA from 1 species